AGUAUCUAAAGUCGGUUGCUGAGAGGCGCCGCCUAGGGUAAAACCGGUGAUUGGGGCUAAGUCGUAACAAGGUAGCCGUACCGGAAGGUGCGGCUGGAACACCUCCUUUCUGGAGCCAUU
rnacentral:rRNA from 1 species